GUUGAGAGAGCGUGUCGAGGUUCCCCGCUUCAGGCAUGACGGCGGGGCUAAGACGGGAAGCCGGUGGUGCCCUUCGGGGCAGAGUCCGGCGCUGCCCCCGCAACUGUAAGUGGCGAGUGGCGGUUCCAUUUCGUGUCACUGAGCCUUGCACAAGGCUCGGGAAGGCCGGAACCGCCGCAAUGACCCGCAAGCCAGGAGACCUGCCUUCGGCGCCAUAACGUUC
rnacentral:ncRNA from 17 species